rnacentral:misc_RNA from 1 species
CUGCGAGUUCGCGGGAGAUAGGUUAUUGCCAGGGUUUUUAUUUUUAUAUUUUAAAUCUUGAUUUUAUUUUAUGUUUUUUAAAUGUUAGUUUUUUUGAAUGUGUUAUUUAAAUAACAUAAAAAAUAAAAUAUAUAUUGACAUGGAUUAAACAAAGAUAUAUAUUAUUUUAUGUUGCGUAAACAAAUUGGCAAAAUAGAGAUGGAAGAUAAAAAUAUGGUCAAAGUAAUAAGAGUCUAUGGUGAAUGCCUAGGA